GGGUGGUAAUACCGGAUGCUCCGCUCCAUCGCAUGGUGGGGUGGGAAAUGCUUUUGCGGCAUGGGAUGGGGUCGCGUCCUAUCAGCUUGUUGGCGGGGUGAUGGCCCACCAAGGCGUUGACGGGUAGCCGGCCUGAGAGGGUGACCGGCCACAUUGGGACUGAGAUACGGCCCAGACUCCUACGGGAGGCAGCAGUGGGGAAUAUUGCACAAUGGGCGCAAGCCUGAUGCAGCGACGCCGCGUGCGGGAUGGAGGCCUUCGGGUUGUAAACCGCUUUUGUUCAAGGGCAAGGCACGGUUUCGGCCGUGUUGAGUGGAUUGUUCGAAUAAGCACCGGCUAACUACGUGCCAGCAGCCGCGGUAAUACGUAGGGUGCGAGCGUUAUCCGGAUUUAUUGGGCGUAAAGGGCUCGUAGGCGGUUCGUCGCGUCCGGUGUGAAAGUCCAUCGCCUAACGGUGGAUCUGCGCCGGGUACGGGCGGGCUGGAGUGCGGUAGGGGAGACUGGAAUUCCCGGUGUAACGGUGGAAUGUGUAGAUAUCGGAAAAGAACACC
rnacentral:rRNA from 1 species